rnacentral:rRNA from 1 species
UACGUAGGGGGCGAGCGUUGUCCGGAUUCAUUGGGCGUAAAGCGCGCGUAGGCGGCCCCGCAAGUCGGCCGUGAAAUCUCCGGGCUCAACUCGGAGGGGUCGGGCGAGACUGCGCGGCUCGAGGUGGGCAGAGGGCAGUGGAAUUCCUGGUGUAGCGGUGGAAUGCGCAGAUAUCAGGAGGAACACCGGUGGCGAAGGCGGGUCUCUGGGCAGUAACUGACGCUGAGGAGCGAAAGCGUGGGGAGCGAACAGG